AUUUCAGAACGAACUUCGUACGAACCUGAAUUGGCCGAUUUCAAGGACCAAUCGACAUUGGACUGAGUCCAAAACUUGGGGAACAUCAUAAUAUUGUGGGAGGAGUCAUUUGGUGGGUUUUGAGUGAAAUCCAAUCUCCAGAACUAUACAAUACACCAACCACCCCUUUUCAGAACGUACUUCGUACGAACCUGAAUUGUCCGAUUUCAAGGACCAAUCGACAUCGGAUUAAGUCCAAAACUUGGGGAACAUCAUAAUAUUGUGGGAGGAGUCAUUUGGUGGGUUUUGAGUGAAAUAGAAUCCCUGGAACUAUACAAUACACCAAACACCCCAUUUCAGAACGAGCUUCGUACGAAACUGAAUUGGCCGAUUUCAAGGACUGAUCUAUAUCGGAUUGAGUCCAAAACUUGGGGAACAUCAUAAUAUUGUGGGAGGAGUCAUUUGGUGGGUUUUGAGUGAAAUCCAAUCUCUAGAACUAUACAAUACACCAACCACCCCAUUUGUGAACGAACUGCGUACGAACCUGAAUUGUCCGAUUUCAAGGACCAAUCGACAUCGGCCGGAGUCCCAAACUUGGGGAACAUCAUAAUAUUGUGGGAGGAGUCAGUUGGUGGGUUUUGAGUAAAAUCCAAUCUCUAGAAUUGUACAAUACACCAACCACCCCAUUUGUGAACGAACUUCGUACGAACCGGAAUUUUCCGAUUUCAAGGACCAAUCGACAUCGGAUUGAGUCCAAAACUUGGUGAACAUCAUAAUAUUGUGGGAGGAGUCAUUUGGUGGGUUUUGAGCGAAAUCCAAUCUCUAGAACUACACAAUACACCAACCACCCCAUUUCAGAACGAACUUCGUACGAACAUGAAUCGUCCGAUUUCAAGGACCCAUCGAUAUCGGAUUGAGUCCAAAACUUGGGGAACAUCAUAAAAUUGUGGGAGGAGUCAUUUGGUGGUUUUGAGUGAAACCCAAUCUCUAGAACUAUAAAAUACACCAACCACCCCAUUUCAGAACGAACUCCAUACGAACAUGAAUUGUCCGAUUUCAAGGACCAAUCGAGAUCGGAUGGAGUCCAAAACUUGGGGAACAUCAUAAUAUUGUGGGAGGAGUCAUUUGGUGGGUUUUGAGUGAAAUCCAAUCUCUAGAACUAUACAAUACACCAAACACCCCAUUUCAGAACGUACUUCGUACGAACCUGAAUGUCUGAUUUCAAGGAACAAUCGAUAUCGGAUUGAGUCCAAAACUUGGGGAACAUCAUAAUAUUGUGGGAGGAGUUAUUUGGUGGGUUUUGAGUGAAAUCCAAUACCUAGAACAAUACAAUACACCAACCACCCCAUUUCAUAACGAACUUCGUACGAACCAGAAUUGGCCGAUUUCAAGGACUAAUCGAUAUCCGAUUGAGUCCAAAACUUGGGGAACAUCAUAAUAUUGUGGGAGGAGUCAUUUGGUGGGUUUUGACUGAAAUCCAAUCUAUAGAACUAUACAAUACACAAACCCCCCCAUUUCAGAACGAACUUCGUACGAACCUGAAUUGUCCGAUUUCAAGGACCAAUCGACAUCGGAUUGAGUCCAAAACUUGGGGAACAUCAUAAUAUUGUGGGAGGAGUCAUU
rnacentral:lncRNA from 1 species